rnacentral:rRNA from 1 species
AUUGAACGCUGGCGGCAGGCUUAACACAUGCAAGUCGAACGAGUGGCGGACGGGUGAGUAAUGCUUGGGCAUCUAGCUUAUGGAGGGGGAUAACUACGGGAAACUGUAGCUAAUACCGCGUACCAUCAGAUGAACCCAUAUGGGAUUAGCGAGUAGGUGGGGUAAAGGCUCACCUAGGCGACGAUCCCUAGCUGGUCUGAGAGGAUGAUCAGCCACACUGGGACUGAGACACGGCCCAGACUCCUACGGGAGGCAGCAGUGGGGAAUAUUGCACAAUGGGCGAAAGCCUGAUGCAGCCAUGCCGCGUGUAUGAAGAAGGCCUUAGGGUUGUAAAGUACUGUCGGCGGGGAGGCGUUACCCGCAGAAGAAGCACCGGCUAACUCCGUGCCAGCAGCCGCGGUAAUUC